CGUACACUCCUGCGGGAGGCAGCAGUGGGGAAUUUUGGACAAUGGGCGAAAGCCUGAUCCAGCCAUGCCGCGUGCAGGAUGAAGGCCUUCGGGUUGUAAACUGCUUUUGUACGGAACGAAACGGCCUUUUCUAAUAAAGAGGGCUAAUGACGGUACCGUAAGAAUAAGCACCGGCUAACUACGUGCCAGCAGCCGCGGUAAUACGUAGGGUGCAAGCGUCAAUCGGAAUUACUGGGCGUAAAGCGUGCGCAGGCGGUUAUGUAAGACAGUUGUGAAAUCCCCGGGCUCAACCUGGGAACUGCAUCUGUGACUGCAUAGCUAGAGUACGGUAGAGGGGGAUGGAAUUCCGCGUGUAGCAGUGAAAUGCGUAGAUAUGCGGAGGAACACCGAUGGCGAAGGCAAUCCCCUGGACCUGUACUGACGCUCAUGCACGAAAGCGUGGGGAGCAAACAGGAUUAGAAACCCCUGUAGUCC
rnacentral:rRNA from 1 species